AUGGCAGGUCUGGCUUUUGAUCCGGCAGUCUCAUCCCAUUUCCACGUUUUUUGUUUUGAGAAGACCUCUGUGGAAACGUACAAGACAGGAGUGAACAUCUACUCGUCGCAAACAGGAGCCUGGAGUCGCAGAGAUGGUGGGAUUGCCGAGAAAGUGGUGCUGUUCUUCUAUAGCAAGGGUGUCUUUCUCAACGGUAUGAUGUACGUGAUUGGCAACCCGAACGGCAUCAGCAACGAGUAUGCACUCCUGGGGAUGGACAUGGAGGGCAAAGUGCGGAAGACUAUCCCUAUGCCAUACGGUCGAAGAUUUGGUGCGAUUGGAUCGUCGCAGGGGUGCUUACUCUAUGGUGUAGCUUCCGUCGAUGAUAACAAUAAAACACUAGAUUCUGAGACAGAACUCUGGUGCCUCAAGGAUUGUGACAGUGAAGAAUUCGUUCUGAAGCACACUGCCAGCAUCGAUGAGCUUAUCAGCAUGACUGGGGAGAAGUACAGGGUGGCUGGGAUUCAUCCAGAUUGCGACACCAUUUACCUGGUUUCACGUGGAGGUGAUACCAUGGUACCGUAUGAUAUGCAACAUCAGAAAGUUGGCUGUAUCCUUAAUCUCGAGAAGAAUACACAACGAUUUCUACCUUAUGUUCCUCUGUUCUCGGAGUCAUUAGCAGAUGGAGAUGGGCAGUAG
rnacentral:rRNA from 1 species